AUACAGCUGACGAGUCCCAAACAGGACGAAACGCGUGUCCUGGAU
rnacentral:hammerhead_ribozyme from 1 species